UCGACUAUCUCUCUCUACACAUACAAUUAUAUAAACUCUAAAAGCCAUGAAGCGUUUAGCACAAACGCGGGUUGAGAAGCCCGGAGCUUCUAUUUUCACGGUCCAUUCGCAGCAGCGUGACAACGAUGACGUAGACCGGAGACGUCAAGGAUAUUUUCUUGAUGCAUGUUAUCUUUGCGGAAGGAAAAUAGUUGAGCAUCAGAACAUAUACAUGUAUGGUUGUUUUCGAGCACUUUGCUCCACUGCAUGCCGAGAUUAUCAGAUUGCUCGGGACAAUUCGCCUUCGGAACCUAGCGUUUCGAAGAAGAAGAGUGUGGGGCAAUAAAUAUGGUUUGUAGAUGCUGCCAUGCUGCUUCUUAAUUUAUUUCACUUAUAACUAUUUAGCCCUCUAAUGUGAAAUCGUGUCAUAAUUUCUAUCUAUUUCUAUCAUGGUAUAUUAACCUACUAUUAAGUACUGGAGUAGUAAUUUUAGGCUCA